rnacentral:rRNA from 1 species
AUUGAACGCUGGCGGCAUGCCUUACACAUGCAAGUCGAACGGCAGCACGGGUGCUUGCCCCUGGUGGUGAGUGGCGAACGGGUGAGUAAUACAUCGGAACAUGUCCUGUAGUGGGGGAUAGCCCGGCGAAAGCCGGAUUAAUACCGCAUACGAUCUACGGAUGAAAGCGGGGGCCCUUCGGGCCUCGCGCUAUAGGGUUGGCCGAUGGCUGAUUAGCUAGUUGGUGGGGUAAAGGCCUACCAAGGCGACGAUCAGUAGCUGGUCUGAGAGGACGACCAGCCACACUGGGACUGAGACACGGCCCAGACUCCUACGGGAGGCAGCAGUGGGGAAUUUUGGACAAUGGGCGAAAGCCUGAUCCAGCAAUGCCGCGUGUGUGAAGAAGGCCUUCGGGUUGUAAAGCACUUUUGUCCGGAAAGAAAUCCUUGGCUCUAAUACAGUCGGGGGAUGACGGUACCGGAAGAAUAAGCACCGGCUAACUACGUG